AAAUUGAAGAGUUUGAUCAUGGCUCAGAUUGAACGCUGGCGGCAGGCCUAACACAUGCAAGUCGAACGGUAGCACAGAGAGCUUGCUCUCGGGUGACGAGUGGCGGACGGGUGAGUAAUGUCUGGGAAACUGCCUGAUGGAGGGGGAUAACUACUGGAAACGGUGGCUAAUACCGCAUAACGUCGCAAGACCAAAGAGGGGGACCUUCGGGCCUCUUGCCAUCAGAUGUGCCCAGAUGGGAUUAGCUUGUUGGUGAGGUAACGGCUCACCAAGGCGACGAUCCCUAGCUGGUCUGAGAGGAUGACCAGCCACACUGGAACUGAGA
rnacentral:rRNA from 1 species